rnacentral:lncRNA from 10 species
UGUAAUAUGCACUUAAAAUUUUGUUAAGAGGGUAAAUCUCAUGUUGGGUAUUCUUACCACAAUAAAAUAAAUUUUUAAAAAAUUGCUUACAGGGCAACUUGAUCACUAUUUUUCACUGUAAGUGCUGGCACUGCAUGGAAAAAUAAGUUCAAAAAAAUUUUUUGAAAACUUUCCCAAUCUCUUCUGGAACCCCUAAUAGUAACUUCUCACAGAAUCCCUAAUUACAUCUGCAAAACCCUAAUUAAACAACCUGUGCUAGACUAUAUGCUCAAGAGUGUUCCCACUUUUACUUGUCUCUGUCUCAUUUGUUUUGUUAUCCUAAGCAACUAACACAGUGCCUGAAACAAAAUGAUGCCCAAUAAAUUUGUUGAGCUGAAAAAAAGUCAUCUUUACCCUAGCAGCUAAAUUAGAGCAUCUUUUUUCUUGAUUUUUUAAAAUUGAUUUGGUUACAGAAGUUAUGCCUUUAAAAAUCCAAAUGGAUAGCAAUUAUUGAACAAAUAAGAUGCCAUAUCAUCUUCAUGUUACCAAACAGCUUUCAUUUUCAAGGCUAUAGUUUGUUGAAUUGUAUCUGUAAUUCACUCUGCUUCAUAGUUAUCCAAGGAGUCUUGAAAACCACUAAAGAUCUAUGAAAAACUUGUUAUUUUCAUUUUGGCAGUAGUCUGUAUAACAGGUUUCAAACUAGAAUAGAUUUUUAAGGAUUACUGGGGUUAGGGGAGGACAAAAGGAAUAAAUGAACAACAAAAGAUGAUAUUUACUUCUCUCAUCUCAUUCUUGUUUCAAGACCUGUUAGUCAUAAGGGCUUUGUGUGGAAAAUUACAUAUGCAUGAGUAUUUCAUAACCAAAUGGUUGUAAUCUCUUCUACUCAUCUGGUUCCACAGUAGGAAGUCAAAAAACUGUGUAUUCGUCAUUUCAUGGUUGAUUCAUUAUGCCUGUACUAAGUAUGUUUGAAAUAAGUCUGCUCCAUAAUACCCAACUCUAGAUAACAUGUAAUUUCUCAUUGUAGUAAACCAGGGAAAUAAGACUCACUGUACUCUGAAGGUAAAGCAAUGUAAUCAGUUUAACUGUUUGUGUCCAAGGUUCAGAAGAACACACUAUCAUCUUCACAACCGAGCAAUGACUCUAUUCCACAAUUUUAGGAACUACAUAUUGAUAAGAAUCAAGACCUUUCCAUAUCCAACUACAUCAUGAUUUCUCAAGACAACCCAAAGGAUUCUGAGUCAAAAGUUGUUGCUUCUUGUCAGUCACCAAGAUAAAGACUAACCUGUGGAAAGUGGACCCUUUUUCCUGGCAAAAGAUAGAAAAAGUUUGAAAAGGAAAAUAAUUUUUUAAAGAAAAAACUUUAAAGUCAGCACAACAAAGUUUUGAUAAAAUGCACAGAAUUGCAACUUGCCAGUGUAGAUUAUAGAGCAAAUACAACAGAAUUGACAAAUUUGAAGGAUGAACAAAAAGAUGAACAGAUUUUAUUUUGUCUUAGGUCCAGUUAUUCAAAACCUCUAUAAACUAGAACACUAUAGGCAAUUUUGAAAGAGAGAAAAAGCAUUUUCUUAACCCUACCAAAUUUCUCUUGGAAGACUGGUCACAUAGAAAAUUUGGAAUCUUUGCUCUUUGUCUUCUUAUUUAUCCUUCCCUCUUCCUCACACUUCAUAUUUUAUAGGGGAGAGAGUUUUUGAAAAUUUAUAUUGAAAUUAUUUUUAAAUAAAGUAUAUUUUUCACACUAUGUGGGCCUGUCUGAUUAUUGUUAAAAAAGAAAAAUGUCAACAAAUUCAGUUUAAUGAUUGAUUGUUUUUUAUUAGUGAUUCAUGAAUUGGACAGCAUCUCAUCUACAAAACAAAGGGAGCCCCAUUGGGUAUGGCAGGACA